UUUUUUAAAAACUUUGUAGGCUUAUUAUGCCAAAGGAAUCAAUCGUGGUCAUCAGCCAUCUAAAGUUGAAUGUCAAAAGAUAUGUGUGAAAGAUUUGACUUCAUCCCAACUUGCUGAAAUGAUAGAAAGAGUAAAUAUUUUGUAUGGUACUUAUGUUGAAGAUGUUGCCAAGGUUGUUUAUGAGCAUGAUUGUGUUCGCACUGAAAUUUGUGAUUCCCAGAAUGAAGAUCUCACCAGUGCUUUUGGUCCUCAGGCAGCACUUAAAAAAGAACUUUUACAGCAGGUG
rnacentral:sRNA from 1 species